UACGUAGGGGGCAAGCGUUGUCCGGAAUCAUUGGGCGUAAAGCGCGCGUAGGCGGCCCUGUAAGUCCGUUGUGAAAGUCGAAGGCUCAACCUUCGAAAGCCGAUGGAUACUGCAGGGCUAGAGUCCGGAAGAGGCGAGUGGAAUUCCUGGUGUAGCGGUGAAAUGCGCAGAUAUCGGGAGGAACACCAAUGGCGAAGGCAGCUCGCUGGGACGUUACUGACGCUGAGACGCGAAAGCGUGGGGAGCAAACAGG
rnacentral:rRNA from 1 species